CGGCGAAAGCCGGAUUAAUACCGCAUACGCUCUGCGGAGGAAAGCGGGGGAUCUUCGGACCUCGCGCUACAGGGGCGGCCGAUGGCAGAUUAGCUGGUUGGUGGGGUAAAGGCCUACCAAGGCGACGAUCUGUAGCUGGUCUGAGAGGACGACCAGCCACACUGGGACUGAGACACGGCCCAGACUCCUACGGGAGGCAGCAGUGGGGAAUUUUGGACAAUGGGCGCAAGCCUGAUCCAGCAAUGCCGCGUGUGUGAAGAAGGCCUUCGGGUUGUAAAGCACUUUUGUCCGGAAAGAAAACCUCUGCCCUAAUACGGUGGGGGGAUGACGGUACCGGAAGAAUAAGCACC
rnacentral:rRNA from 1 species